CCAUAUUGGCCAGACUGAUCUCGAACUCCUGACCUCAGGUGAUAGACCCGCCUUAGCCUCCCAAAGUGCUAGAAUUACAGGUGUGAACCACCUCACUGGGCUAGGAAUUUGGUUUUAUGGUCUGAACACAUGGUGAUCUCUGUAAUGAGAUAAAUGUUUACAGGACUUAGUCUCUAUUGGGUGAGAGACCACAGAGUCUGAUUUGUUAUUCUAUUUGUCUGUUUUCUUUGAGCUGAAAUCAAUUAAGAAUUUCAUGCCCACUGGGAGGAGAAGAGCUCUUUGAUAUCUGGAAGGGACUGAAAAGUACCAGGAGAACAGUGACCGCGAGGGGCCCUGGCAAAGGAAGAAACCAGCCAGACGUGCCUGCUUCCCCUUUGCCUUCUGCCAUGAUUGUC